CAGAACGAACGCUGGCGGCAUGGAUUAGGCAUGCAAGUUGAACGAACUCUUCGGGAGUGAGCAGCGGAAGGGUGAGGAACGCGUGAGUAAUCUGCCCCCCAGUUGGGAAUAACAGUUGGAAACGACUGCUAAUACCGAAUGUGGCUUAAGCUUCGCCUGGAGCUUUGGCUAAAGAUUUAUCGCUGGGGGAUGAGCUCGCGUCCCAUUAGCUAGUUGGUGAGGUAACGGCUCACCAAGGCGACGAUGGGUAGCUGGUCUGAGAGGAUGGUCAGCCACACUGGGACUGAGACACUGCCCAGACUCCUACGGGAGGCUGCAGUCGAGAAUCUUGGGCAAUGCGCGAAAGCGUGAACCCCAGCAAUGCCGCGUGUAUGAUGAAGGCCCUCGGGUCGUAAAGUACUGUCUCCCGUGACGAAAUUUGACGGUAGCGGGGAAGGAAGCCACGGCUAACUACGUGCCAGCCGCAGC
rnacentral:rRNA from 1 species